UACAGAGGGUGCAAGCGUUACUCGGAAUUACUGGGCGUAAAGCGCGCGUAGGUGGUUCGUUAAGUUGGAUGUGAAAGCCCCGGGCUCAACCUGGGAACUGCAUUCAAAACUGACGAGCUAGAGUAUGGUAGAGGGUGGUGGAAUUUCCUGUGUAGCGGUGAAAUGCGUAGAUAUAGGAAGGAACACCAGUGGCGAGGGCGACCACCUGGACUGAUACUGACACUGAGGUGCGAAAGCGUGGGGAGCAAACAGG
rnacentral:rRNA from 1 species